AGGUUUGAUCCUGGCUUAGGAUGAACGCUAGCUACAGGCUUAACACAUGCAAGUCGAGGGGCAGCAUUGGAGUAGCAAUACUCAGAUGGCGACCGGCGCACGGGUGAGUAACACGUAUCCAACCUGCCGCUUACUCGGGGAUAGCCUUUCGAAAGAAAGAUUAAUACCCGAUGGUAUAAAGAGUUCGCAUGUUCUCUUUAUUAAAGAAUUUCGGUAAGCGAUGGGGAUGCGUUCCAUUAGAUUGUUGGCGGGGUAACGGCCCACCAAGUCUACGAUGGAUAGGGGUUCUGAGAGGAAGGUCCCCCACAUUGGAACUGAGACACGGUCCAAACUCCUACGGGAGGCAGCAGUGAGGAAUAUUGGUCAAUGGACGAGAGUCUGAACCAGCCAAAGUAGCGUGAAGGAUGACUGCCCUAUGGGUUGUAAACUUCUUUUAUAAGGGAAUAAAGUGAGGGACGUGUCCCUUUUUGUAUGUACCUUAUGAAUAAGGAUCGGCUAACUCCGUGCCAGCCGCCGC
rnacentral:rRNA from 1 species